AUUUCAUACUAUUGCUUUCUUAUUUUACUUGUCAGCUUCAGAAAUGUUCACUUAAAAAGUCAGCUUAAUAGCGUUAUAUUUAUGAAUAAAAUUCUUUAUACUUUCAUAUUGUUUAUAAUUUAAACUGCUCUAUUUUAUUCUCAGUGACAAGGUUAUUACAAAUGCCAUUAAUAAGUAUGCUAUCUCAUUAUAAUUUUAUCAAUAAUUACUAUUUUUAACAUUUUCCAGGCCUGUCUUCAAGUUAUCUUCAACAUGAAUAAAUUUAUUAAAAUUUGUAUUCUAAAAAAGUAAAUAUUUAUACUUAUUUAAAGAUAAAAGUAGUAAAAAUUACCAGGAAUGUAAUUAUUUGUUUAAUCUUUUUUAUAUUUCCUUAAUCCAUAUUUCAUACUCCUUUGGUAUGCUGUGUUGAAAGAAGAUACUUUCUUUUCAGAGAAGUAUGUAUUUUAAGUACCCCUCAGUCCAUUUUAAUUCUUGAAGGAACUAGAUAACUUGAAAAAAUAGGUAAGCCCUUCUUAUUCAGAUCGCCAUUCUAUUCAGAUCGCCAUUCUAUUCAGAUCGCCAUUCUAUUCUACAAUUCUGCUUUCCAUUCUUUGGUCUUUAGAGUUGUAACUUUAAAAUACAGGCUUAAGGAAGUGAAUAACUGUAUUUUUCAAUUCUGUUUUUACUCAUCAAUAUUAUUCAGUUAUAUAGUAUAUAUGCUUAAACUUAUUAUGAUUAUUAGUUCUAACUAAAAUAUGGAAAAUAUAUUUUUGUCUUAAUAAUUGCUUUAGAGAAGCAAUAGUUCACCCUUAUCCACAUGCUCUUCUUAUUUUCCUUUUAAUUACCUAAAAUGUGACUGUAUUCAUCCAUUUUCAUGCUGCUGAUAAAGAUAUACCUGAGACUGAGAAGAGAAAAAGGUUUAAUUGGACUUAAACCUCCACAUGGCUUGGUAAACCUCAGAAUCAUGGCAGGAGGCAAAAGGCACUUCUUACAUGGUGGUGGAACCAAACCAAAAUUGAAAAGCCGCUAGAAUCAUGGAUUUCAGGGGGAAAAAUAUCCUUUUGUAUUGACUGGCAGGCAUUUUUGAAAGACUUUUGGAGACUCAUAGUACCACUUAAUGAUCUUUAUAUAUUUUAUCUAAAGUGUCUAUCCUCAAUUUUUUUCACUAUACAUUUCACAGAAAUUAAAUCAAUAUUAAGGAUCAAAUUCCUGGUCUUUCUGGGUUUCAAAGUACAAAGGCUUUCCUGAGUUCACAUUUUAUCAGGACUAGCAAUCUAAUCUUGAAAGACUCACCUGACCUUUAAAAUACAUGAACCAAC
rnacentral:lncRNA from 1 species